AUUGAACGCUGGCGGCAGGCCUAACACAUGCAAGUCGAACGAGUGGCGGACGGGUGAGUGAUGUCUGGGAAACUGCCUGAUUGAGGGGGAUAACUCCUGGAAACGGUAGCUAAUACCGCAUACCCUCAGAUGUGCCCAGAUGGGAUUAGCUUGUUGGUGGGUUAACGGCUCACCAAGGCGACGAUCCCUAGCUGGUCUGAGAGGAUGACCAGCCAACCUGGAACGGAGACACGGUCCAGACUCCUACGGGAGGCAGCAGUGGGGACUAUGGCACAAUGGGCGCGAGCCUGAUACAGCCAUGCCGCGUGUAUGAAGAAGGCCUUAGGGUUGUAAAGUACUUUCAGCGGGGAGGCGGUACCCGAAGAAGAAGCCCCGGCUAACUCCGUGCCAGCAGCCGCGGUAAUAC
rnacentral:rRNA from 1 species